rnacentral:rRNA from 1 species
ACGGAAGGCAGCAGUGGGGAAUAUUGGACAAUGGGGGAAACCCUGAUCCAGCGACGCCGCGUGAGUGAAGAAGUAUUUCGGUAUGUAAAGCUCUAUCAGCAAGGAAGAAAAUGACGGUACUUGACUAAGAAGCUCCGGCUAAAUACGUGCCAGCAGCCGCGGUAAUACGGAGGAUGCAAGCGUUAUCCGGAUUUAUUGGGUUUAAAGGGUGCGUAGGCUGUGCGGCAAGUCAGGGGUGAAAGCCCGUCGCCUAACGACGGAACUGCCUUUGAUACUGUCGCGCUGGAAUACGGAUGCCGUGGGAGGAAUGAGUAGUGUAGCGGUGAAAUGCAUAGAUAUUACUCAGAACACCGAUUGCGAAGGCAUCUCACGAAUCCGUCAUUGACGCUGAGGCACGAAAGCGUGGGGAUCAAACAGGAUUAGAUACCCUGGUA